rnacentral:rRNA from 1 species
AGUGUAGCGGUGGAAUGCGUAGAUAUUAGGUAGAACACCCGAGGGCGAAGGCGUCUGUCUGGCUCAUUACUGACACUGAAAUGCGAAAGCAUGGGUAGCGAACAGGAUUAGAUACCCUGGUAGUCCAUGCCGUAAACGAUGGGUACUAGGUGUCGGGGGACUAGCCCCCUCGGUGCCGUAGCAAACGCGUUAAGUACCCCGCCUGGGGAGUACGAUCGCAAGGUUGAAACUCAAAGGAAUUGACGGGGGCCCGCACAAGCGGUGGAGCAUGUGGUUUAAUUCGAUGCAACGCGAAGAACCUUACCUGGGCUUGAACCGCAUUUUGAUCAUCUAUAGAGAUAUAGAUUUCUGAGCAAUCAGCAAUUUGCAGAGGUGCUGCAUGGCUGUCGUCAGCUCGUGUCGUGAGAUGUUGGGUUAAGUCCCGCAACGAGCGCAACCCUUAUCAUUAGUUGCCAGCGCGUUAUGGCGGGGACUCUAAUGAGACUGCCCGGGUUAACCGGGAGGAAGGUGGGGAUGACGUCAAGUCCUCAUGGCCCUUAUGUCCAGGGCUACACACGUGCUACAAUGGGCGGUACAGAGCGCAGCUACACAGUGAUGUGAUGCGAAUCGCAAAAACCGUUCUCAGUUCGGAUCUCAGUCUGCAACUCGACUGAGUGAAGUUGGAAUCGCUAGUAAUCGCGGAACAGCAUGCCGCGGUGAAUACGUUCCCGGGCCUUGUACACACCGCCCGUCACACCAUGGAAGUUGAUAGUGCUCGAAGUAACUGGUCUAACCAGCAAUGGAGGAAAGUUACUAAGGCAAGAUUGAUAACUGGGGUGAAGUCGUAACAAGGUAACC